UAGCAGGCCUUGCACUGUAAUAAGUUAAAUCGUCACAUCAAAUACCACGAACACAAUAGCCGUAGAACAUUACACGAAUUGCAUUCAUCAAGGCGAAAUCGGAUUGGUUGUCGCUUCAAAGUACUCUUUAUCGCUCAACACAGACUUUGUUUUGAGUUCCUAGCUUAGAUAGCCAGCAAGGGGGACACAUUUGCUCAAAAAGUGAAAGUUCGGUUUCAAAAAACAGUGACUGGAUUAAUUAGCAGAACGUUAAACGAGAAAUGUAAGUACCAGGGAUGAAACGCUAGUACGGUAGCAGACAGCCAUUAUUAAUAAGAAUGUACUCUUAGCUCCGUAUGCAAAUAAGCGUCGUAAUGACUUGGGGUUUUCUGGAACAGGUGCCGGGCAUGAACGAAUAAAUCAAGAACUGUUCAUAAAUGAAUACUACUCCAAUCUGAAUUGAAACAUGCGCGCCAAACGCUGCUUUAAACAGUGAUUGCUUCUGAUACGGGCCUCAUCAAAGUUAUUGUAAGGAUGGCUUAAAGAAGAAACAUUUUCUAUAAUGAAGCUCGAAGGAAUAACGCUAGAUAAAUCUGAUUCGAAUGCAUCCAAAUCUACCUCAAGAAAGGACAGAGUUAUCAUUAACGUUGGAGGAAAUCGCCACGAGACUUAUUUGAGUACACUAAGAGUCGUUCCAGAUUCCAGACUAGCUUGGAUUGGCGAAAACACGUCGAAACAGGCCGAAUACGACCCAGAAACCAACGAACUGUUUUUCGACAGACAUCCAGGUGUAUUUGCUAAUAUCUUGAAUUACUAUCGAACGGGUAAACUUCAUUGCCCAGGCGAUGUUUGUGGCCCACUUUUCGAAGAAGAAUUAGCGUUUUGGGGAAUAGAAGAGCUGCAAAUGGAGCCUUGUUGCUGGAGUAAUUAUACCCAGCAUAGGGAAGCGCAAGCAACUCUCAAGGCCUUUGAGGGUUUACAAAAGGGCAACGGGGACUCUGACAACGAUAACAGUGCAAUGGGACUUGAUCAAUCUACAAGAAUAGAGAAAACAACCAAGGAACGUUUCUGGGCACUUUUAGAACAGCCGUACUCAUCCAAAUAUGCUCAGAUUUUAGCAAUGAUUUCUCUGGCUGUCAUAGCGCUCUCCGUGUCAACUUUUUGCGUAGAAUCCAUGCAAUACUUCAAACAAUACAGAGAAGUAUUCCGAGGACUGGAAUAUCUUUAUUGUGUUUGGUUUACAGUGGAAUUUGUGGCUCGAUUCUUUGCAUGCCCUUCUAAAAUAGCUUAUUUCAAAAGUUUCAUGACUUGGGUUGAUCUUUUGUCAGUGAUACCCCUUUACAUUAGCUUGGCCAAUCAAGUAGAAGAAUUGGAUUUCUUGUUUGUCUUACGACUUGUAAGGAUUUUUAGGUUAUUUCGAUUUUUUCGCACAAUGAGCGGGAUGCAGGUCAUAGGACACACUCUUCGAGCAAGUGCCAGAGAACUUUUUCUCUUAAUUUUAAUACUCUCCAUUCCAAUGGUCAUUUUCUCUACCUUACUGUUUUACGCAGAAAAAUGGAAAUUUGGAGAACACACCGACUUUCCUAAUAUUCCCGAGACAUUCUGGUGGGCUGUUAUUACUAUGACAACCGUUGGUUACGGAGAUGUCUAUCCAAAGUCUGCUUUUGGUAAAAUGAUCGGCACGGUUUGCGCGUGCGUGGGGGUGCUUAUCGUAGCCCUUCCUGUUUCUGUUAUUGGUAGCAAUUUUACUUUGUUCUAUUCCCAUGCCCAAGCUCAGUUAAAACUUCCAAAAAAGAAAAAAAAGCCCUUGCUUCUUGGGGCAGCUGGUGUUUUAGUGUCAAAUACGAGUCUACAGGAUAUAGAUGGUGAUGAAGAUGAUGAUGAUAACGAUAAUGGUAAGGAUGGCAGUGAUGCUGGAGAGGGAAAAAUAGAACCAAGAUACUCUGUAUCAGAGUUUAGACACCUGAGAAAUCCAUCUAUCCACCCAAGGUCAAGAUCGGUGAGACGAAAAGCUCAAGGAGACANAGAUUUGCCAGCUGCUUUGUCGUCAAAGUUUCAGAAGGCAGAGUCGGACAACUCUGAUUCUGAGCUACCUUGCGUUACAAAAAUGCCGCUUCUUAGUUUAGGUCACUCAGAUACAUCAAAUAUGUCAAAUAUAUCAAAUGGGUUAAAAGGUAUAAGUGACGUGAUGUUGCAGAUUACUGCACCUGUGACUCGACGAAUGGCGAUUUCUCCCAUCGCUACUCCUCCUGCAAGAAGAAGCAGUCGAAGGAAGAAGAGAAGUAAGAGGGCAUCAGGCACUGGAAACGAAGAGUCAUCGGGUUACGAGCGUGAAAGUUUCUACACCACAGAUGCUGACAGUGCGGCUGAAAAUAAUCAUGCACGCCUAGAGGAAUUGCGAGAACAGAUGAGAAUACAAAAAAACCAGUCACUAUCCUCUAACUCCUCGAAUUACUAUAAUCCUCAUUCGAGUAAAGAAAAUAUAACCUCAAGUGAAGAUAAUGCUCGCUCGCCUUUAAGCCACGAAAGCGCCUUAAGAGAAAUCGAUUUGAAGAACAUUCAUGAUGAAGGGACAGCUGCACCAAAUAUGUGUUUACCUUGUAAUGAAAACAAACUACCGGAUGGAUAUAUUGAACCUACUAAAAAGGAGGAAGGUAAAACAGAGAUUCAAGAAGGUGAAAGUAUCAAAGAGACUAAUUUAUCAGGCGUUUCUGAUCCCUCGUCAAAGGACGAUAGAGAGGACGAUAAACUAGAACAUUUACUAAGUAAUCAUGACUCUUCUCAGAAUGUUACAACUCCUGAGAAGCCACCUCCGAACAUAUGGGAUAGACCACCUGACUUAGAUAUGAAUACAUGGGUUAAACAACCCAAAGUUAGAUCUCGAUCAAAUGCUUUUAGAAGAUUACCUGAACUUUCAAAAGACGUCAAGAACGAUAGAUUGCCGCGGAACGACACGCUUCAACCAAGAAGGGAAAACAUUUCUGUUACAUUUGACGAUACCCCGAAGCGAAAUCGGUGCAAUGGGUCUACAAACGAUCUUCGUGUUCCUUGCAGUGCGCAUGAACGAAAGAAUGUUUGUGAUACGAAGAAUUCUGGUACUGCACACGCAGGAAUAUUAAAAGACAGAACUCACUCAAGAUCACUAGAUCGAUUGCGAAAAAGCCCAGAUUCGUGUCGAAAACAUAAUGAAGAUGUUAUAUUAAUUGAAAGUAACAUUGCCCCGGAUAUUGAGCGAACACACCCUAGGAGUAAUACUAUAGUAUAACUGUUCUAUUGCAGAACUAAGUUAAUGGUGCAUCAUACAGUAGAAGAAAACCCUCGUUAAGUUUUAAAUAAUGAGGGUUGGAGUUUUUCAAUUUUAUGCUGAAAAAAGGUAAUCAAGAGACAAGCUGAAUCAACAGGAUAUUACAAAGCCAUUGCGCUUAGUAACCUGGGUUACUAAGUGACUUGAGAAUGUCAUUCAGACUUUUGAAGCGAUAUUCAUCAAGGGUUGGCUUUGCUGUUGGUAAGAAGGUUGAGGACACUUGUUCCAGACGCCGGAUAAAUAAUUUACCCACGAGUGGCCAUAGAGGGACAAUGCUCCAACUGGUCUCGCGCAGACGCUGGCGUGCCUCAGAGCUCGGUACUUGGGCCAUUGUUGUACNUUGUUUAUAUUGAAAUUUGUGAUAACAUUCAAUCCAAAUGUCUUCUUUAUGCAGAAUAAUACUUUGUUGUUUGAUGUCGUUGACAAUCCUGGAGAAUCAUCACAAAAACUAACGACUUAAAUAUCAUAAACCAAUGGUGUGAUAGGUGGUUGAUGAAGAAGAAUACGACUAAAAUAUAUCACCCUACUCUCGUUUUUUAAAUAUUUCUGUCAAAGAGGUAGGCUCUCACACACCUUGGCUUAGUCUUAUCACAUGAUUUCUCCUGGAAGGAGUAUAUAUUAAUACUACAUCAAAAGGCAAGUAAAGCCUUGAACUUGUUUAAAGUACAAACUACAUCGUUCUUCCAUGAGCCUGGUUAGACCUUUGAUGGAAUAUGCAGAUGUCAUAUGGGUUGGGUGUAGUGAGGCUNAAAGUGAUUUAUUAGAGNGUGUGCAAUAUGAGUCAGCUCGUGUUGUUACUGAGGUAUUAAAGGAACAAGUAAAAUCAAGCUUUUAAAGGAGCUGAGUUGGGAAGAUCUUAAAAAUAGAAGAUCUUUUCAUAAACUAUGUCUUUUCUAUAAAAUGGUCAAUCACAUAACUCCAGCAUACCUUUUCAAUUUUCUGCCAUUAAAAGUAAGUCAAAGGUCAAAGUAUUCUUUGAUAUCUAGUCUCGGGAUCUACUGAAGAUUCCUCGUUAAUCCCCACUCGUACCAAUAGAUUUAGAAGAUCCUUUCUACCAUCGGUUAUCCCACAAUGGAAUAAAUUAGACAAAACUAUCCGAACCGCUUGUCCUAGUGAUGAUUUUAAGACUAAACUUCGUGGCAAUUUUCGUACUGAAUACAAUCGAUUAUUUGAUACCACUCUCAAUAGACAAACCUCUAUGUUACACAUUAGACUUAGACUUGGUCAUUGUGCAUGAAAUUUUUACUGAUUCAAAAUUUCUUGCAAACCAACACCACUUUGCGAUUGCAAUGAUGUAUCNGUUGAAUCCAUCUCUCACUAUUUCUGUUCCCGACAUCCCGCCCAAUCACAGCUUUUCCAACAACUUACUUCAGAGUCUGAUAAAGUAAACUCCUUUUUUCUAUGUGGUUCUCCNCAUUUAACUUUUAAGCAAAAUCAAAAACUGUUCUUGAGUGUCCAACAAUAUUUGANAGACACCAAAAGAUUUGUAUAGAGUAAAGAACGCUUAAUUGAUUUUGUAGAUAUAUUUUCUUUUCCGUUGUACUUUUUAUACGUAUAUAUGUUUUUUUCUUUCUUUCUAAUAUGUUACAUGUAAUCUCCCACGAUGUAAUCGCCAUUGUACUUUUUCUAUAUUUAUGUUUUUAUUUUUUCUUGCUAAUAUGUUAAACUUAUUUCUCUUUUUCCUUUUCCUAAAAACUCCAAAAGCAUUGUAAUUAUGUUCUGUGUAAUCUCCCACGAUGAGCUUAGCCGCUCUUGGAGCAAACACAGAGGGUUAGUAUGUUUAAAUAAAAAAUAAUAGUAAUAAUAAUAA
rnacentral:misc_RNA from 1 species